UAGGGAUUGCAGAAGAAAGCCCGCAGCGACAGCGAGGACUUGUAACGGAAAGCCCGACCCUUG
rnacentral:misc_RNA from 1 species